rnacentral:rRNA from 1 species
GACGAACGCUGGCGGCGUGCUUAACACAUGCAAGUCGAGCGGGUGUAGCAAUACAUCAGUGGCAGACGGGUGAGUAACACGUGGGAACCUUCCUAGGGGUACGGAACGACUCAGGGAAACUUGAGCUAAUACCGUAUACGUCCGUAAGGAGAAAGAUUCAUCGCCCCUAGACGGGCCCGCGUCGGAUUAGGUAGUUGGUGGGGUAACGGCCUACCAAGCCUACGAUCCGUAGCUGAUCUGAGAGGAUGAUCAGCCACACUGGGACUGAGACACGGCCCAGACUCCUACGGGAGGCAGCAGUGGGGAAUCUUGGACAAUGGGCGCAAGCCUGAUCCAGCCAUGCCGCGUGAGUGAAGAAGGCCUUAGGGUUGUAAAGCUCUUUUUACCAGGGACGAUAAUGA